rnacentral:lncRNA from 13 species
AUGAAUAAGCGUGCUACAUUCUCAUCCAACUACGAAAAGACUUUAGACUCUACUCCGAAACGGAUCAAUGAUUUGAACGAAAAGCAACACAAGUCUAAAAAGUCUUGUCCGCCAUCUCGUCAGCUAAUUUUGGGAAAACCAAGCCUGCAAUGAUGGAGCGUCAUCAAGAAUGGCACGAUGAAUGUUACCUAUCUGACA